rnacentral:lncRNA from 1 species
CUCUAACUUUGGCCCUCAAAUUUUUCCCUAUUUCACUAGCUAUGACCCCUUUAACAACUUAUGCAUUUUUUUCUCUUCGAAUCUUACCAUCAUCAUUUCUAACAAUUUCCACUGCCACUCCUAAUUCUACCAUCAACCUAGCAUUCACUGGUUGAUCAAGAUGAAAAGGCAUUGCUAUAAUCGGAACCCGAAAUCGACACUUUCCUUUACUGAAUUCCAACCACAAUGACUUAUAAAUCCUCCAGUACUCGAAUGGUUUAAAAUUCUUGGUUGUGGAGCCCAUUUAUCCGAAACUUUUCCCCUUUCUCCAAUCCUUUCAAGAAAACAUUGUGUUGGUGCCUCCUCAAGAUUUUGUUCUUCCCCCUUUGGAAAUCUUACAACCCAUAUGAAAUUAAAAUUACUAUGCUCCAAUCCCAAUGUUAUCUCUUCUAUAUCUUCCUUUGCCAAGAAAUACUCACUUCCAAAGGAAACAAAUACAGCUGAAUGCUUAUCUUUCUUCCUAGCCAAUCAAUAAGCUCCACAUCAUCCGCUUCGUCAUCAGUCAUUGGAUCUUGGACAGGUGGACCAGCUGGUAUAACUUUCCAAUUGCUCAAUCCAAUCAAAUAGUCUAUAUGUAUUUGGCCUCUAUAAUUCUAGAGGUACUCAUUAGCAUGAUUUACAUAUUUUCUUGAGUAAAAAUGUCACCAUCAUAUUCAUCGGUGAUCUUUCUCUUUAGCAGAUUUUGCCAUCAUUUCACCCUAUUUUACAACCUGUGAUAAAUAGCUGGGAAAGGGAAUUCAACUCCUGGUUUCUUUACUAAGUUAAAAAAAAGUAUGAAAACACAGCUGCAACAGAAGUUAUGAGCUUGAUAGCUGGAAUGUUAUGCUCAUUCGCUAUACUCCAGUCCAUUGCUGUAUCGCGUCGUAGAUCACCAAAUCAGGUUUCAGAUUUUCCAAGAUUUUGGACAAUUUUGCUUUGGCCAAUUUCAUGGCCUUUUUAAGGGUGUGACUUAGAUGGGGUGGGAGACCAUUGGUUGUGUGGUAAUGAGGAGGAAGUUGAGGCUACUCUGGUAAAUGAUGCUCAACAAGUUGAAUUGAAAUAGAGUAAUUUUCGGGUAUUUUUUUAUGGAUAGAUUUGAGAUUGAUAGGUGUAGAACAAAAAUAAAUCAAGAAUCCCCUAUCUACGAGUUUUUUGGCUACGUUGAGAAUUAAUGGAGAGAUGUGUCCAUACGCCAACAAUGGAAACAUCAGUAGCCUCAAAGUGUUAGUGCCACGUUCUGUAUCCAUGAAAACUUUCUUACAAAAGAAACUACUAACGUACGUAAUUUUGUGUAUUUCUUACAAAAGUUAGUGGCAUUGAUUGGCUUUAUACGAAAAAAUAGAGAUGAGGACUAACCUAAUAACGUGGAAUAACCUGCUAAGAAUGGGAAAAAAUGCUUUGUUAGUUUUUAAUGAAAGUGGUAAUGUUGUACGAUUGAUUUUAGGGAAUUUGAAUGUAGAUUAUUAGCCAAGUUUUAUGCAAAGUGACUUAUUUGUGUGACUGUUUGUUAGGAUUUUAGGCAAUUUUUAAGAAUGUGGCUGGUUAUGUGACUGUUCCUUGGUUAUUCUAUGGUUAGAACUAUGACAAAGGGAAAAAAUGAAUGUAAAAAGAAAACAAAAGAAGGGUUGCGAAGGGAUAUUUAUCACUUCUCAAAAGAGUGAUUGUUUGAUUUUAGGACAGUAAACAUUCUUUUCUAAGAUAUAACAAGCAUGUUAUCAAUUGUCUUGAAGUAUUUGAUUUGCAGUGAAAUAGUAUUUUUAUAUAGAUAAUUAGCAGUAGUUGUACAUGGCUGAGUAGUAGCUAGCUAAGAAUAAUUAGUCAUCUCAAUAUAUGUAUAUCUUUUGAGUUACGAGGAAAGUACAAUUAGCUUUAAAACCACAAUUAUUUCCAAAACCACAUUUGUCAUGUUUAGCUAAAUACUUUCUCUUGUCCAUAAUAAGUGACAAAUUUACCUUUUUAUUUUGUUUCAAAAUAAGUGUUCAUUUAUAUAAUCGAAAAAAAUUCAAUUUAUUUUCCCAAAAUUAUUCUUAUUAACGUAUCCCUAAAAAGUCUUUUACUACUCACAUUGACUAUGCUGCAAUAUUUAAUUAAGGGUAGUUUAAUCACACUAACUAUUUUUGUCUAAAAUUUUGUAUUUCCUUAAUGAGUGUGCCCAAGGAAAAUUGGUCAAUUAUUGUGGACAGGAAGGACUUAUAUCUUAAGAAAUGUGUUAGACACAUCCUAUCUCAUCUUAAUUCUAACUUUAGCCACCAAUAUAAAAUAACAAGCAGGAAAGUUUACACAGUGUGUCUAUAUAUAGACUUAUCUCGUGCAUGUGCUUCCCCUAGCUGGCCUACUACUAAUUAAUCAUACUUCUGUAUAUAUAUUUCUAAGUGAAAGUGUGUUUGUUCAGUCUGUCGUGAUAAGAGAAUAGGAUAAUCAAAUGAAAGAAGCCUCAUAUUCCUCCUUUUCUUGCAGGUUCAAUAUAUACUUUGCCAUCCCCAACUUGCACCAAAAUCCUUCUGAUACAUCCUUAGUUCAAGAGAAAACUUUUAUACAUCAAACCUUUUCUCAAUCAUACCUAAUACCCGUGGCCAGGCAGCCAGCCUGUUUUAUACACAAAGAAGUGAGUGAACAGUUAAAUUUUUUGUUUCUAAAUCCUCAUCUGACUCCACGCGUCCAACCUUUUCAUUUUCUCAUUUUUUAAUCAACCUUUUAUUUUCUAAAAAGAUCUUCCACCACCACACCACCUCCUCAACCACUACAUCCCUUAAUCUAAGAGUUAAAGUAAGAAUUUAAAGUUUAUAGAUUCUGAACUUGCCUUGAAGUCAUAAUUUGUCUCAGUUAUUAGGUUUGCAAUUAUAAAUUUAUAUAUAUUUAAUAAAUUUUCAAUAUAAAUAUAAGUUCUAGAUAAACUGGAUCAUUCAAACCCAUAUCUAAUGAUCCAGUUCCGCCCCUGAAUCUUGGUGCCAUGAUUAUUUAUUUGAUUAUUAUAGGUUAGCAACUAUAAUAUGGCACUUCUAGUCUAUUUGUUAACUGUAAGGUAGAUUGUUUGGAGCACACAAGUUAAAUAAUUUGAGAAAGGAUAUAGUUUAAAUAGCAUGGUCAAAACUGGCUAUCGGCUGCAAUUCCUUUAGCGCGCUUUCUACCACGAGUUUCUUAUUUACAUGGCUUAGAUUUGAAACCAAGCCCAAACAUCCCUCAGUGUCCCUCAAAUAUAUUUAGAGAUGUCAAUUUGGGCGAGGCAGGGCAAGGCAGGGUAAGCCUUGACUCACUAAGAUUUUGACCCACCCUCCCUGUCCCGUUUAGCCUUUUUCCUAAUUUUUGCCCUGUCCCGCCCUAUUAAGUCCUGCCCCGUUUAGAUUCUCUUUAAUUUUUUUCUCUUUGUUUUUUUGUUUAUUUUCAAAAGUUAGCUUUCGUUAGAUCAGAUAGUGAUUGGAUCAAAACCACACACUUGACUUAACUGUAGGAUAAAUAAGCUCAGUCAAAUAACAUAUUAUGGAGAACUCCUUCAUCCAUAAUUGAAUGCUUCCAAAACUGGCGAGCAGGAAAUAGAAAAAAAAAUGGGAUAUCCAAAAUCAUUAUAAUCUGAAGAUCUUGAAGUAGACGUGCAUGUGCCAUGCUUUCAGAAUAGUUGCCAAAAGAACUUCUAAAAAACACUAUAUCUUUCGUACAUACAUGAAAAGUUACUAAGCUGCAAAUAGAAGUAGAUUGAUUUUUUUCCUGUUAAAUAUAUAUUGUGCAUUUUUAUUAACAUUAAGGGUAUACUUAAAAACAAUUAACAAAUAUAUUUAGUCUUGAUUUACUGAAGGGACAAUUUUAAUUUUUGUGCUAAAGCGAAUGUUAAUUUGGAACGAAGGAAGUAUAAAUUUGAAGCAGAUGAUCCUGGAGAAAUAUUUUAAAAUCGAGUUUCGUACUUUUAUUGGAUUGAUCAAAUAGCUAGAGAAAAUUAAAUAUUAUGGUAUAUCGUACUAGAUAUGUUCACAAAAUAUCUGCUGUAUGAAAACUCCUAAAACUAUGACCAAAGUAUUGAAGGAACAUAUAACGACCCGGCCGGUCAUUUUAAGUAUUUUAGCCUCGAUCUUCUAUAUAUUGCCUCUUUUAUGUUAUAUUGUGGUUGUGUGACUUGCCGGGGUGUUUGAUUUUGUUUUCGGGUGAGUUUCAGAGUGAAAUGUGACACCUAAUCCCUAAGUUGGAGGCUUAAGUUGAAAGAGUUGACUGUAGUUUUACUUUUAUGUAGACGGCUCCAAAAUGGAGUUUUGACGGUCCCAAUAGCUGUGUAUGGUGAUUUUGGACUUAUGAGCAUAUCUGGAUGUUGAUUUGGAGGUUCGUAGGUCAUUUCGACUUGAAUUGGCGAAAGUUAGAAAGUUGAAGGUUUGGAAGGUUGGAAAGUUUGAUGGGGAGUUGACUUUAUUAAUAUCGGGGUCGAAUUUCGAUUUCGGAAGUUGAAAUAGGUUUGUCAUGUCAUUUAUAACUUGUGUGCAAAAUUUAAAGUCGGUCAGAGUUUUUUUGGUAUGAAUCGGCAUUAGUUUUGGAAUUAUGAAGUACAUAAGUUUCAAUGGGCUUGAAUUGGAUGCAAUUCGUAGAAUCAAUGUUGUUUGAUGUGAUUUUCGGCCUAGAGUAGGUCCGUUAUGUGUGUUUGAAACUUGUUGGUAUAUUCGGACGGGGCCCCGGGUGUGAUUCAGAUUGAAUCCGGAAUAAAUUUGGACUUGUGUGAUUGUUGAAGCAUGGAUGUGUCUGGUGCAAUCACACCUGCACACUUUGGGCCGCAGGUGCGGCACCGCAGAAGCGGCCUUCGAGCCGCAGAAGCGAAGUUAGCCUUGCCCAGCUAGGAACGCAGAUGCGGUCAGCGUUUCGCAGAAGUGGGCGCGUAGAUGUGGAGGGGGCAUCGCAGGAGCGGAUUCAAGUGGGCUGGGGAAGGAUCCCAAGUGCGGUCGAAGCUCCGCAGAUACGGGCUCGCAGAAGCGAUCCAUAGGUCGCAUGAGCACAGGUGCGUUAGGGUGUCUGCAGAAGCACAUUCUCAGGACUUAAGUCAUGGCCACACCUGCGAUGGCAUUUCUGCAGGUGCAGAGCCGCAGAAGCGGCUGUUUGCCCGCAAAAGCGAAAUCGCUGGGCAGAAAUUGGGGGUCUUCGAGGGUUUAAUCUCAUUUUCAUUUUUGGACCUAGAGAGCUUGGUUUGUGGCGAUGUUUCGAGGGUUCUUAAAGAUAAUCAUUGAGGUAAGAGAUUCUAACUCGGUUUGACUAUAUUACACGAAUCCAUAGUUAUUGUCAUCAUUUAAUUAGUGAUUUGAGUUGGAAAUUUGGAAAACAAAAUAGUGAAAACUUCUUAGGCUAAAUUUUGGGGAUUUGAUAGGCGAUUUGAGGUCGAAUUUGAGUAAUUCUUGUAUGGUUAGAAUCGUUAUCGAAUGUGUGUUCGAAUUUUAUAAUUUUGGUCGGGUUCCGAGACACGGACCCGGGUUCACCUUUUGAGUUGACUUUUUUGUUUCUUUUUAAAUAUCAUAACUUUAUUGUUUGGAAUAGUUUCCUAUUGUUUAUAUUUAUGGAAUGAAAUUUUUUUGGCUAGAUUCGGGCCGUUCGGAGUUGAAUUAUCGAGGAAAAAGCUUACUAGUGGAUUAAGUUAGCGUAUUUUGAGGUA